rnacentral:lncRNA from 1 species
AUGCUAGCUCUAUAAUUGAAUGGGAAGUUUGCCCAAAAAGUAUAAUACUGAAUAGGGUGGAGUUAAUCAGACAAAGGGUGAAGCUUACUGUAGGGAUAAAGCCAUUAUAUUCAAACUGAUUUCCUCAUUCUUGUAGAAGGCUUGGAGCCUCUGAAAAUCUGCUCUAGAUGGUUGGACAACCCUUCAGGAUUGGAAUGCAAGCAAUACUUCUGACAUGGAAACAAAUGGAAGACACUCCUACAUCGAUUGGCCACAUACCCUUACACUUGGUUCUGUAUUGUGCUUGGAUAAAAUUCCAUCAUCCAUCUGAAGAAUAAGUUUGGCUUCUGUGAUGGUGGCUCCCCAGUAUGCACAGACACUACUUCACACCAGCUUUCCUCAAGCCCUGGAGACAUCCAGGCAAACCUGGCUAAGUACUGGAAGCCAGUACUACCAACCACCCUUUUCCUGGGAUCAGUAAGUCCAGUGUUCUCCUUCUGUCCAGAGCCUACAGCAACCCUAUAAGGAAGACCAAAACUCAGUUUAACCUGGUAGCAAUCCAAGUGGUCCAAAGGGGACUUGGAACCA